GGUGGUGCCUCACUGCCAGACCCCACUACGGGAGGGCAGGCCUGAAAUGUUUCAGUUAGGAAAUGGGAGUGGUGCUGGAGAAGGUGAGGAGUUUCCACACCUCAUCCGGUGUGGCAAUUCAGCCUACACCAGGUCCAGCCAACACAGCAACUGGCCAGUGUUCUUGGCAAAUCUGGGUAUAGUUGUAUGGCCAAGAAGUUUGUUUUAAUCUGGUGAUAUGCAUACCAGUGUGGGACAGGAGGUCUGGCGGCUAAUCUGGCUUCUCAAUAAGUUAGUCACUGUCCCUGUCCUGGGCUGUCCUGAGAAGGGCAGAGCCAAGCCUUGAGUACCUGCCAGGCAGGGUGUGAGAUGUUGAGGGCAGACACCCUGUGCAUUUGUCUCAGUAACUCAGCGUCUCAGUAGUAAACUGGUGCUUUGUCAAUGUUGUAAGAUUUGUCAAAUUCACAUAUACUCCUCCUGUUUCUGUGGGUUUGCAGCUUUUUCUCUGUCUUCGGGAAAGAACAUUCUGGCUUUCUGUGGGGAACUGCCCUGCCACAGUUCCCUCUUGUCUUCGUGGGACAGUCACAGAGCGCAGCUAAACAGUCUCUGCCGGUCUACAAAACAACACCCUUUGGCUGCAGGAUGUUUUCCCCCACAAAGAAAUGCUGACUAACUGAAAAAAGGAAGAAGAUAAAGGAAAGAUAUGAAGACCACACCACAGCUUUAACCUUGGUGAUUAGGGAGGGACAGCAUUGUUGUGUUAAGAUGUUGGGGAAGAGAGGAAUUUGAUACUAAUACUGUUUGUCGCUUGCAUUUCUCCCCCAAAUACCUUUAGUCAAUGAUUCCACUUAAUGUAACAUUUUAACUACAAAUGGUUUCUAUUAAAAAAGUGUUUGUCAGUCUGGCUUUGAUCAGCAGUUUUAAACAACUGGAUGGAUUCCCAGCCUUAACUGUUUUCCCAGAAAAGCUGCCUUCUCCCACAUA